UGUGCUGAGACUCAUUUCUGGGUCACAGACAGGAGGACACAAAAAUUAAAAGCACAAAGCACAAAUUAGAGAAAUGAGAAAGCCUGAGGACUUGGAGAUUUUGUGCACACAUCAGCGAGAGGGAUAAUGAGGCCCAGGUGAACUCAAUCUAGACAAUAAUAAGAGCAGGAGAAGGAACAAAGAAGGGGACAAAAAUGCAGAACAGCCACAUAAAGGAAAUAACCUUCAAGAUGAAGCAGGAAAUAAAAUGAAAAGGGGACAAAUCGCAAUCCGUGCAGACAGAGGAAACCGAAAACACAUGAAAAGGGAAAGGCUCGUUUUUGUUUUUACCGUAUGUUCAUAAGGAUUACCACAAUAAACAGGAACCUCAGACAAAGGGGGAAAAAUGUGUUGAAAAAGAUUUUCUAACCACAUCAACUGGAAGUAGUCCAUCUACGUUAACAAGAAACCAUUAUUACAAUCAACAGUCUUUACACUGCGUUACGUACAGGCCUGUCUUUCUGACGCCUCACUUAUGAUGGGGAAAGGAUGAGGAAUGCCCCAGGUCAGGUUUCCACAGCCUUCUCGUGUUUAAACCAACAAACCAAACAGAUGUGUGAUAAGCUGGUUCUGCGCACCUGUACGUUUAAGAAAAGGUGUUUCUAGGCAUCAACAAACCAUGAGGAAAAGAUAGAAGAAGAAGAAGAAGAUAAAAGUUUUAAAGGACUUCAUGCAGAAAGCAUCUGAUGAUCGCUUUGAUACGGAGAGUGUGGCAGGUGUUCGCUGAUGGGGUUUUAUUCAAAACACUAUAAAUCUGUUUUCAAAAAGAAACACAAGACUUGCUCCAUAAAACUUGAUCAGUUUAAUUUUGAAAAAGGACAAUGGACUCUUAAAAUGUGACUGCUCUGCAGGCAGAUGUCUGUAAAUGUUGCACAACUUUGACCACACUGACCUCAUCCUGUGUUGGGGAGAGAAAUCUAAAGAAAGAACUGGGCAACAAAUGUUUUCCUCGUAUACCUUUUUUGUGACCAUAAAAAAAUGCUGUUAUAUUGUCACCUGUCACCAGCUUUUAUGACAUCAUUUUAAAACUUCUUUAUCAUCGUUUUGAUGACCACAAUACUGUCACCCAAAACUUCAGUUUUUGGAUGGCACUAAGUUAUAAGCUUAGAUACCAUGGUUAUUCAUAAAUGUGCAUGCAUACAUUUUAGUUUACCUUCUAACCAGUGCUAAGCAAGAGACUAGUAUUUCUGAGAUUGUGUAUUUUUAAUAUUUCAGGGACUUUUUAAUUGUUUUUCCCUGUGUUAUAUUUUGUUUUUGUGCCUGUCAUGCCCUCUCAACCCCAAAACCAUCCAGAAACACACAAAAAUACAAGUGAGGCUGUACCUGUAGUUCUGAUACUACAUAAUUUACUGUAGUAUCACAAAGUGUGUUUUCUCAUGUUCAGAGGUUUAGGCCAGUGAACCGACCCGGUGAGGCUGGGCCUUACAGAUGGUUAGGAUUCACAGCCACAGCAUUUUUAGCACCAUGCUGUAAACAUGUGAAAGCUGGACAUUAGCACGAGAGGUGAUUGGAAGUGAUUUGGAGCCAGCCUCAGCUAUGGGUUCAGUUUUUAGUUACUGAGGUUUGGGCUUGACUACAUGUUGUUUGGAGACUUUGGAGUGUUGAAAGCAGGAACAUCGCAGACCCUCACUCGCUAACUCACACGUACAAAGCACCCUCCCCCCCGUUUUAAAGUUGAUGCAUCAUCAUCAGUGUUUACCAAUCAGCUGC